AUUGAACGCUGGCGGCAUGCCUUACACAUGCAAGUCGAACGGCAGCACGGGUGCUUGCACCUGGUGGCGAGUGGCGAACGGGUGAGUAAUACAUCGGAACAUGUCCUGUAGUGGGGGAUAGCCCGGCGAAAGCCGGAUUAAUACCGCAUACGAUCUACGGAUGAGAGCGGGGGACCUUCGGGCCUCGCGCUAUAGGGUUGGCCGAUGGCUGAUUAGCUAGUUGGUGGGGUAAAGGCCUACCAAGGCGACGAUCAGUAGCUGGUCUGAGAGGACGACCAGCCACACUGGGACUGAGACACGGCCAAGACUCCUACGGGAGGCAGCAGUGGGGAAUUUUGGACAAUGGGCGAAAGCCUGAUCCAGCAAUGCCGCGUGUGUGAAGACGGCCUUCGGGUUGUAAAGCACUUUUGUCCGGAAAGAAAUCCUUGGCCCUAAUACGGUCGGGGGAUGACGGUACCGGAAGAAUAAGCACCGGCUAACUACGUG
rnacentral:rRNA from 1 species